rnacentral:rRNA from 1 species
CCGUAGCCCAAGAGAUCGGGAUAACACCUGGAAACAGAUGCUAAUACCGGAUAUCAAUAGAUGAUGCCUAUCAACUGUUUAAAAGAUGGUUCUGCUAUCACUCUUGGAUGGACCUGCGGUGCAUUAGCUAGUUGGUAGGGUAACGGCCUACCAAGGCGAUGAUGCAUAGCCGAGUUGAGAGACUGAUCGGCCACAUUGGGACUGAGACACGGCCCAAACUCCUACGGGAGGCAGCAGAG